rnacentral:tRNA from 1 species
GAGGGUAUAGCUCAGUGGUAGAGUGCGUGCUUGGCAUGCAUGACGCCCUGGGUUCAGUCCCCAGUACCUUCA